rnacentral:piRNA from 1 species
AAGAAGAUGCACAAGACAAGAAGCAGGC